UGGUGGGUAGUUUGACUGGGGCGGUCUCCUCCUAAAGAGUAACGGAGGAGCACGAAGGUUGGCUAAUCCUGGUCGGACAUCAGGAGGUUAGUGCAAUGGCAUAAGCCAGCUUGACUGCGAGCGUGACGGCGCGAGCAGGUGCGAAAGCAGGUCAUAGUGAUCCGGUGGUUCUGAAUGGAAGGGCCAUCGCUCAACGGAUAAAAGGUACUCCGGGGAUAACAGGCUGAUACCGCCCAAGAGUUCAUAUCGACGGCGGUGUUUGGCACCUCGAUGUCGGCUCAUCACAUCCUGGGGCUGAAGUAGGUCCCAAGGGUAUGGCUGUUCGCCAUUUAAAGUGGUACGCGAGCUGGGUUUAGAACGUCGUGAGACAGUUCGGUCCCUAUCUGCCGUGGGCGCUGGAGAACUGAGGGGGGCUGCUCCUAGUACGAGAGGACCGGAGUGGACGCAUCACUGGUGUUCGGGUUGUCAUGCCAAUGGCACUGCCCGGUAGCUAAAUGCGGAAGAGAUAAGUGCUGAAAGCAUCUAAGCACGAAACUUGCCCCGAGAUGAGUUCUCCCUGAGACUUAGAGUCUCCUGAAGGAACGUUGAAGACGACGACGUUGAUAGGCCGGGUGUGUAAGCGCAGCGAUGCGUUGAGCU
rnacentral:rRNA from 3 species